GUUUCAUAAACAACCAGGAUGUUGGCUCAGAAGCAGCCACCAUUUAAAGAGUGCGUAAUAGCUCACUGGUCGAGAGACGCUGCGCCGAAAAUGUCCGGGGCUCAAGCACGGAACCGAAGCUAUGGCAUUGCGUAAGCAAUGGGUAGGGGAGCGUUCUUAUGGGGAAGAAGCAUUACCGUAAGGAGAUGUGGACACAUAAGAAGUGAGAAUGCCGGUAUGAGUAUCGAAAAGAAAGGUGAGAAUCCUUUCCACCGAAAGCCCGAGGGUUCCUGAGCAACGAUCGUCGUCUCAGGGUAAGUCGGGACCUAAGCCGAGGCACAGACGCAUAGGCGAUGGACAACAGGUUGAAAUUCCUGUACCGGAUGGAGUCAUUUGAGCAAUGGAGUGACGCAGGAGGGCACAUGAUCGCGCGACUGGAAGAGCGCGUCCAAGUGCGUAUGUUGAAUCGGAGGCAAAUCCCCGAUUCUGAAAGCAGAGACAUGAUGGGGAGUUAUAAGCGAUUAUGACGAACUCAUGGAUCCCACACUGCCAAGAAAAACUUCUAGCGAGACGAAAUCCGCCCGUACCGUAAACCGACACAGGUAGGCGGGGAGAGAAUCCUAAGGUGCGCGGGAAAACCCUCGUUAAGGAACUCGGCAAAUUGCAUCCGUAACUUCGGGAGAAGGAUGGCCCUGAGUAGGCGAAGUGCAGAAACGCACGGAACAGAAAAGGGUGGCAGAAAAGAGGCCCAAGCAACUGUUUACCAAAAACACAGGUGCCUGCGAAAGCGAAAGCUGAAGUAUAGGUGCUGACGCCUGCCCGGUGCUGGAAGGUUAAGGAGAGAGGUUAGCGCAAGCGAAGCUUUGAACUGAAGCCCCAGUGAACGGCGGCCGUAACUAUAACGGUCCUAAGGUAGCGAAAUUCCUUGUCGGGUAAGUUCCGACCCGCAUGAAAGGCGUAAUGAUUUGGGCGCUGUCUCAACGAGGGGCCCGGUGAAAUUGAAAUACCUGUGAAGAUGCAGGUUACCCGCGACUGGACAGAAAGACCCCAUGGAGCUUUACUGCAGCUUGAGAUUGAAUCCCGGUGGCAGACGCACAGGAUAGGUGGGAGGCUUUGAGAUAGUGACUUUGGUUGCUAUGGAGCCGACGUUGGGAUACCACCCUUCUGUUGCUGGGAUUCUAACGCGAAGAUUAACAACCUUGCGGACCAUCUCAGGUAGGCGGUUUGACUGGGGCGGUCGCCUCCGAAAGAGUAACGGAGGCGCCCAAAGGUUCCCUCAGGCCGGACAGAAACCGGCCGAAGAGUGCAAAGGCAGAAGGGAGCUUGACUGCGAGACAGACAAGUCGAGCAGAGACGAAAGUCGGGCUUAGUGAUCCGGUGGUACUGCGUGGAAAGGCCAUCGCUCAACGGAUAAAAGCUACCCUGGGGAUAACAGGCUAAUCUCUCCCAAGAGUUCAUAUCGACGGGGAGGUUUGGCACCUCGAUGUCGGCUCAUCACAUCCUGGAGCUGGAGUAGGUUCCAAGGGUUGGGCUGUUCGCCCAUUAAAGUGGUACGCGAGCUGGGUUCAAAACGUCGUGAGACAGUUUGGUUCAUAUCCAUCGCGGGCGCAAGAAGUUUGAGGGAGGCUGCUCCUAGUACGAGAGGACCGGAGUGGACGGAUCAACGGUGUACCAGUUGUCACGCCAGUGGCACGGCUGGAAAGCCGCAUCCGGAAAGGAUAAACGCUGAAAGCAUCUAAGCGUGAAGCCCGUCCCAAGAUGAGACUUCUCAUCAGCAAUGAGUAAGACCCCUUAAAGACGAUGAGGUUGAUAGGCUGUGAGUGGAAGAGCCGCGAGGCUUGGAGCGACGCAGUACUAAUAGGUCGAGGUCUUAACUUA
rnacentral:rRNA from 1 species